rnacentral:lncRNA from 1 species
CUGUGGAUGGCCACACACGGCCACUCAGAGCAGAGCCUUCAGCUUGAUGUUCACAGCACUGCUAUGAGGCUGUGUUACCAUGCCCAGAGAGCUGGCCCUCGGGAGUAUUUUUAGCUUUACUGGAGUUUCACCUAAUCCUCAUUGAAUGGCUUUAUAAUCAGUGGAAAUUGCCAGUCAUUCUUUGUGGCAGGCAUUUAUUUUCUCCUUCCAUUUUGCAUUUUCUCAGCACAGAACAUCAGCAAGGUAGGAUGUUGAUGCUGAAAGAUUACUCAAAAUGGCCAUAGAUAACAUUAGUCUCCUAAUCUCUAUGUUCUAACUGUGGGACUAAAAAGAAAGUUUAAAAUGAGUAGCAAACCAUAUCUCAUUGAAAACUAGUGGGUUGUUGUUGUAUUUUUUUUGUUUUUAAAUUAGGUAAAAGUCUUUCAUACUGAUUUAAUUUAAUGGAUGAAUUUAUUUUCUCCCUUUAUUUCUGAGCAUAAUCUCUCUGAAUCUGA